rnacentral:misc_RNA from 1 species
UAUGAAUUAUCGGCCAAAAGGCCGAUAUGAAUUAUUCGCCUAUGGCGAAUAUGAAUUAUGGCCUGCCGGCCAUAUGAUAUAGUGU